ensembl:snRNA U6 U6 spliceosomal RNA
GGGUUCACUUCAGCAGCACAUAUACUAAAAUUGGACUGCUACAAAUUAGCAUGGCCCCUGAGCAAAGAUUCAGUUAUCUACUGUGUAAAAUUUAACUCUUAA